UAAUUGCUCAAUGGGCGAAAGCCUGAAGCAGCAACGCCGCGUGCGCGAUGAAGGCCUUCGGGGUCGUAAAGCGCUUUUUGAGAGGGACGAGAUAGGACGGUACCUCUGGAAUAAGUCACGGCUAACUACGUGCCAGCAGCCGCGGUAAAACGUAGGUGGCAAGCGUUAUCCGGAUUCACUGGGCGUAAAGCGCGUGCAGGUGGCUUCGUAAGUUGGACGUUAAAUCUCCCGGCCUAACCGGGAGGAGUCGUUCAAUACUGCGGGGCUGGAGGGCAGAAGAGGGGGGUGGAAUUGCUGGUGUAGUGGUGAAAUGCGUAGAUAUCAGCAGGAACACCUGUGGCGAAAGCGGCCCCCUGGUCUGCUCCUGACACUCAGACGCGAAAGCUAGGGGAGUGAACGGGAUUAGAAACCCCGGUAAUCCUAGCCGUAAACGAUGGAUGCUAGGUGUGGGUGGUAUUGACCCCAUCCGUGCCGAAGCUAACGCGUUAAGCAUCCCGCCUGGGGACUACGGCCGCAAGGUUA
rnacentral:rRNA from 1 species